CAACUUUGACAUAAUCAUUGGUAAAUAUUAAGGUAGGAAGGAUGAGGUGUGUGGCGAUCUUCCUCAUCUUGUCUUUGGUCGUCCUCAUGGCCGAACCAGGAGAUUGUUUUUUCAGAUCUUUAUGGAGAGGGGCGAAGGCCGUGUUUAGAGGUGCCAGACAAGGAUAUCGAGCAUACAGAGACCAACGCAGAGAGGAGAAACUAAGGUGUGGCUCAGAACAGCAAGAACAAUUGCAGAAUGAACGCUGAAUCUCUUCUGGUGAUAUGAAGAACUCCGGCUACAGCUUAUUGCUUGCUCAAUUAAAAAAAAGGAUAUAUAGAGAUGUAAUAAUUGAUAAGCCUAAUGGAGAAGCUUGAAGCAUGACAUAUGGGAAUGAUUUUCUGCAUAACUCAAAUAAUUUUCAAGUACUGCAAAAUGUGCUUGUCUUGAAAGCUUGUAUGAAUAAACUUGUAAGACAGCAA